rnacentral:lncRNA from 1 species
GCCCAGGCCGAAGGCGAGCUCCGGGGCCAGGCAGACCGUGGAGUAGCUGCCGAGGCGGGCGAGCCCGAGUCCCGGGUUCCAGCCCGGGCUGCCAGCCUCCUGGCGCUUUUCGCCCCCGACCCCCUCUCCGAUCCGGUGGGUCCCCAGGGACACCCUGGCAGGCGAUGCUGGAAAAGCUUCUUGGGUGAUUCUGAGAAUCACGGUCCAGCCCUACUUCACUACACUUGGGGAAACUGAGGCACUGUCCCAAGGCCGCACCGCGAGUUAGCAAACUGCAAAGCCUGCGAGGAGGGCCUGGCAGACGCCGUGAUUUUCCCAGGCCUGAGUCCUGGGAGAUCUAGGUUAGGCCAGAGGGGCCGGGGAUUCAGGAAGUCCUGGGCGCCUGCUGCCCCGACAGCUCCGCGGGGUGGGCCCAGUCGGGGCGCCGCGAAGGUCAGCAGCCUCGCGAAAAUCAACAGGAAGACGCCUUUCUUUCCUCAAUCCGGGAGUGGAGAUUCCGUUUAACUUCUGCAGUCAGCAGGACAGGAAGCGCUCUCUGUCUCAGGCUGGCGCUAGCAGGGACCCGAGGGAGUGUUCAUGGGAGCCAGGUAUUGGAAGCGAGGCAUCCUUCAUUUCCUCCGCAGUGAGGUCUCUGAUCGCCCGAGUCUGGUUUUUCAAAAUCACAUCAUGUGAAGACCCCAAGGGGAGGUACCCGGGAGGAUUCCUUUAUAUGCUCAACCUUGACUCAGACUUGCAAUCGGCAUUUGAUCAAGAAACGUGGUCAGUUCUCCAAACGCAAAAUCAAUCGCUGAUUUUACUUUUUUACUUGGCAUUUCCUUGGGAUAUUCUCGAUCCUGGGAAGGAAAGAUGAUGAACUAUUGUCUUCAAUUCUGUCCCGCUGAGCAUCCUUCCUGGAUUCAGGAUUUCCUGGAGCCAGACCUUAGUAGCUUCAGGUUUAUGGCUUUCUGAAAAUAUAAUUUUGAUGAAUUUUAA